AAAUAAAUCAGUGAACCCGAAUGGCAAAUCAUCCAAGUCCUGACUUUGGGAAGAUGGCAAUUGGCAAAUGGAGUAGUCCAAAAUCCCACACUCGUCAGGCCCGCUAGGGUUUCAGGCUUCCGAAUCCGAGCAGCUCCAUUCCCCAAAUCGCCUCUUGUCUCGCGCCCUCCCGCCCCGUUGCCGGCGACGAGCGCUGCAGGGCACAGGGUGCUCAGGCUGCAGCUUCGCCUGUCCCCGCCAUCUGCCGGACACCAAGCCCCGCCCCAAGUCCUAGCCUGCCAUCCGCCCGCCGCCCGCCAGUUGCUGCCUGACUGUCUCAACUGUUCACCGUGCGUACCCUGCAGACAUUUACCCAUGAAUGGCUAUUUUGUUGGUGCUCGCAACGACUUCCUGGUUUCCUACCAAAGAAAGGUGCUUAACAAUUUGUUGUCACAAACCAGAAUGGCCCCAGGCACAUCAGGUCAGCCGGAGAGCAAGGGGCAGAAAAAAACGAUUAACAUUGGUUAUGAACUGGCGCAUCAAGCAUGGGACUUCAAAAUACAACAAGGAAGUUGCAGGGCAAAAAUUCCUUCAAAUAUACCGCGGCAGUAUGAUCCUAUACAGAACCUUGAUUCUGUGUUAAUUUUUGAUUUGAUGGAUAAUUCAAAUGGGCUUCACUGCUUGGAGAUUAUGACAAACUGCCUGCAUAAGAACAUAUUGCAUGCUCCAAUUGUUCAGAAGAAGGAGGAUGUUGACUGCAUUUCUGUAUGGCAUGAGCCUUACACAGGCAAUCUUCUUGCAUAUUUGGAAUCUACUUUGUUAGGGGCCAAACAUAUGGUUGGGGAAAAGGUUGUGCUCCCAACACCUGUGCUACAGAAUCUUAUAAGUCAAGUUUUUGAUGGAUUGAAGAUGCUGAGGCUCUGUGGGAAAUACCAUGGAAACUUUACACUUGAGAAGACAUACUAUUACAAGAAGAAUGGAAAUGAAAUCAUUGUGAAACUUGCUAAUUUUGAAGUUAAAGAUCAGGUGAAGUCUACUCCAGUAUUGCAAGCUAAGGACUGCCAGGCUGUUGGUGAUGCACUCAGAAAGAUCUCAAAGAUGGCUAAAGAUCGAAAAGAUCUUGAUUUUGAUUGCAGUCAAAUUGAUAGCCUUGCUGAAGAACUUAGGGAGUUUUCCUUCGGGGAUUUAUGCAAUAUUGAGAAGAAGAUUGGAGGCCAUCCUUUCUUUUGGGUUUUUGAUGAUAGGAAGUUCCUUUUGACUUGCUCGAUUCCUUUGGCCAUGAACAAACGCGCAUUUCGACAAAAGAUUGAGGGCAAUGAAGAUUUGAUUGCUCUUCCUUGGGACAAAGAGGACUAUGAUGGAUUAAUUAAUUUGAUGAUGAAGUACAGGGCAGAUCAUAUGAUUAAAAAGUUUGAUAUUAACAGCAGAGUUGACUAUGUGCUGUGUGUAAGUGGAAUGUAUGCUCAUGAAAAGGAGCUGAAGACCAACAUUCAGGUCGAUAGAGUCAUCAUGGAGAGAAACCCCGGCCUUUGCUGUCGACUAUAAUAUAUGUUAACAUGACUGGGAGGACUUCAGCAGACAUGAUAAUCCACACUGAAGAUAUAACCCUGGGAGCUGUGCGAGAGGUAGGCAUGAAGUCUGGAACAAUGGGAAACAGUGGCUUUUGGUUCCUACUUGUCUUUGAUAGAGCUAGCAGGAGGCGAAGAGAAACAUAGUUAAGUUAUUGAUAAUUUAGUAUUUGCAAAAGAGGGAGAUGCACCACUAAAGAUCUUAUAAAGAUUGGUACUGUUAUAUUUGGUGCUUUCAAUAUUUUCUUGGUAAUCUAUAGUACAAUGUCCGUGCGUUGCAACGAAUGAAUUGGCAAUUGCAAUUGUAUUUAAGCAGAAAAAUGUUAAGAGUAAAGGUAAUGUGCGACAGAGUGAC
rnacentral:lncRNA from 1 species